rnacentral:tRNA from 1 species
ACCAUGGUAGCACAAUGGUUAAGUGUUUGGCUGCUAACCAAAAGGUCCAUGGUU